GCUAAACGCGAAGAACCUUACCUGGCCUUGACAUGUCCGGAAUUCUGCAGAGAUGCGGAAGUGCCUUCGGGAAUCGGAACACAGGUGCUGCAUGGCUGUCGUCAGCUCGUGUCGUGAGAUGUUGGGUUAAGUCCCGCAACGAGCGCAACCCUUGUCCUUAGUUGCCAGCGAGUAAUGUCGGGAACUCUAAGGAGACUGCCGGUGACAAACCGGAGGAAGGUGGGGAUGACGUCAAGUCCUCAUGGCCCUUACGGCCAGGGCUACACACGUACUACAAUGGUCGGUACAGAGGGUUGCCAAACCGCAAGGUGGAGCCAAUCCCAGAAAGCCGAUCCCAGUCCGGAUCGGAGUCUGCAACUCGACUCCAUGAAGUUGGAAUCGCUAGUAAUCGCAGAUCAGCAUUGCUGCGGUGAAUACGUUCCCGGGUCUUGUACACACCG
rnacentral:rRNA from 1 species